GUGGGUGACGUUGAGAAAGGCAAGAAGAUUUUUGUUCAGAAGUGUGCCCAGUGCCUAAAAGGGAGGCAAGCACAAGACUGGGCCUAACCUCCAUGGUCUCUUUGGGCUGAAGACUGGUCAGGCCAUUGGAUUCUCUUACAAAGAUGCCAGUAAGAACAAAGAGAUCACCUGGGGAGAGGAUACAGUGAUGGAGCAUUUGCAGAAUCCCAAGAACUACAUCCCUGGAACAAAAAUGAUCUUUGCUGGCAUUCAGAAGAAGGCAGAAAGGGCAGACUUGAUAGCUUAUCUCAAAAAAAGCUACU
rnacentral:lncRNA from 1 species